GUUUAGUUCCUGCUAUGAACUUGCUGUGCAUUCUAAGGCAGACCAAUUGUCUACCAUGACAGUUUCGGGUAUACCUGAAAGGAAUUUUCUCCUUUGUCUAUUCCUCUGUCUGGAAUCCAAAUCUUGCUGUUCAUUGGUUUCUUCCCAUGAAAUGGAGAGUGGUAUAUCGCAGUUUAUCUUUAAACUAGAAUAAUACACAUUAAUUUCACUCUAUUAAGUCCUGGGGUAAUUUAUAAAGGGUACUGUCUUCUGGAAAAAAAAAUAAAAGUGUUUAGAAAUUUUCUUUCUUAUUUUAUGUUUCUCCCCAGAAGCCAGAGACAAGAUAUGCUAAAGUAUCUUUUGGGGCCUUUGGGGGGUUUCAUACCAUAGUCUACAGUAUUUUAGCCCCUUAUAGAAAAUGGAAUGUGUUUCAUCUGACAUAGGUGCAUUCUCUCAUAUACUUUACUUAUCCCUGUUAAAUGAAAGCUCUACGGAAACCGUUGUUAUACUACACCAUUCAGGGAGUGAUGACAAGAAGAAUCUUUAUGUUCAGUACACACUUGUUUUAAAGUUCUGAGUGUUUUCCAUCUGUAUUUGGUUGAAUCUUCAGAUGAGAAACCUGUGACCAUAGAAGACCAUAGCUGUCAUAAUCUUCAUCUGAAAAGGAAAAUUGAGAUGUUAUUUUAAGAAUUAUGUCGAUAGACUUUCAAGUGUAAUUGGAACCGUUCCUGUUUGGUCUGGGGAGCUUUGGUUAGGACAGAUGGUCACUAAAGGUGUUUAGUUUCCCUGUGUGCACUUGGGUAUGGCAGCUUCUGUGCUCACUGUGAACAUUUGUUUCCAUUGCUAACUCAUGUCCUUCUUUUCCUAUGUCAUCUUCUUGGUGAUCCUGUCACUCAAAACACAGGCUUCCUGUUGUCCUCUUUUGUUGUCUGGCUGUAGACUCUCUCUAUGUAGGGUUUUUGUUUUGUUUUUUCCUUUAUCCCUAUGUAAUUUCUUUUAUGCUUCAUGGCAUAUCCCUACCAGGUCAUGUCCAUUGUUUCCUACAACAUGUCCUCUUGUUUAAUUUCCCUAAUUCUGCCUUUCCCUUGCCACUAUAUGCCAUUGUCCUUUGUCACCAUGAGUUUGUACUGCUUCACUUUUGUACCGGUCUUUACCUCUAGCCUGUGAACCGUUGUUUUCUAGUCUCAUGAAAGACUGAAACUGCUAACCUUUUAUAACCUUCCUCCCACAAAGAAGAACAGCACCAAACUAGAACAGCAAAGAAAGAAGGGAAUUCCCUUCCUCUCAAUCGUUUCAGAACAGAUAAAACCUUGGAAGCAGUUAGACAUAAAGCCACAUGUAAUUAAUGUUGCACUUUGUACUGCUGAUUCUAAGUGUGUUUCUCUUUGUUGUGUUAUUAUAGAAGCAGAGAAGAUUGCACAAGUAGCAAAAAUUCGAUUUCAACAGAAAGUGAUGGAGAAAGAAACUGAAAAACGCAUUUCUGAGAUUGAAGGUACAACAGUGAAAGGCUGAAGUUCUGAGUGUCCUGAACUGCCUCUCUGCAUCAGGACCAGUUCUUGAUUGUCUUGUGGGGGAAAAACAUAGGACAUGCUGGUCUGGAGGAAGUAACUACCCUGAUGCUCUAGACAAACAACAACAAAACCUAUGUAAUUUAGUUCUCACUUUAGUCUGUGACUUUCAUUUCCUUUUCUACAAUGAGGCUUUUUUAGCUCUUACUAUAUUUUCUGAUGAAGUAUAAGAAUUCCUUAAAAUCUUUUGUUAAAACAAAAUAAGUGUCUAGAGAGAUGGCUCAGUGGUUAAGAACACUGGCUACUCUUCCAGAGGACAAGGUUCAAUCCGCAGACCCAUGUGAUAGUUCAUAACUAUCUUUAAUUCCAGUCCCCAGGGGAUCUAACACCCUUUUGUAUACAUAUGAUGCUCAGAGAUACAUGGCUGGUAAAAUACCCACAUAC
rnacentral:lncRNA from 1 species